UUCCGGUUGAUCCUGCCGGAGGUUACUGCUAUCGAGGUCCGACUAAGCCAUGCGAGUCGAAUGUAGCAAUACAUGGCGAACUGCUCAGUAACACGUGGACAACCUACCCUCAGAUCUGGGAUAAACCUGGGAAACUGGGUAUAAUACCGGAUAGGUCUUGGAUGCUGGAAUGCACCGAGGCCCAAAGCUCAGGCGUCUGAGGAUGGGUCUGCGGCCUAUCAGGGUAGUAGUGGGUGUAAAGUACCUACUAGCCUACGACGGGUACGGGUCGUGAGAGCGAGAGCCCGGAGAUGGAUUCUGAGACACGAAUCCAGGCCCUACGGGGUGCAGCAGGCGCGAAAACUUUACAAUGCCGGCAACGGCGAUAAGGGGACCUCGAGUGCCAGGAUACAAUCCUGGCUGUCGUAAUGCCUAAAAAGCAUUAUAUAGCAAGGGCCGGGCAAGACCGGUGCCAGCCGCCGCGGUAACACCGGCGGCUCGAGUGGUAACCGCUAUUGUUGGGUCUAAAGGGUCUGUAGCCGGCCUGGUAAGUCUUUUGGGAAAUCCGGCAGCUCAACUGUCGGGCUAUCAGAGGAUACUGCUAGGCUCGAGACCGGGAGAGGUGAGAGGUACUUCAUGGGUAGGGGUGAAAUCUUGUAAUCCUUGAAGGACCACCAGUGGCGAAGGCG
rnacentral:rRNA from 1 species